CCUACGGGGGGCAGCAGUGAGGAAUAUUGGUCAAUGGCCGGAAGGCUGAACCAGCCAUGCCGCGUGAAGGGCAGGGACCUAUGGGCGUUAAACUUCUUUUGUGCGGGAGCAAGAAUGGUCACGUGGGGCCAGACGAGAGUACCGUACGAAUAAGCAUCGGCUAACUCCGUGACAGCAGCCGCGGUAAGACGGGGGAUGCAAGCGUUAUCCGGAUGUAUUGGGUUUAAAGGGUGCGUAGGCUGUGAGGUAAGUCAGCGGUGAAAUGCCCCCGCUCAACGGGGUGAAGUGCCAUUGAUACUGCCUUGCUGGACUGCGGAUGCCGUGGGAGGAAUGUGUGGUGUAGCGGU
rnacentral:rRNA from 1 species